rnacentral:rRNA from 1 species
UACGUAGGGCGCAAGCGUUGUCCGGAAUUAUUGGGCGUAAAGAGCUCGUAGGCGGUCCGUCACGUCUGCUGUGAAAACCCAGGGCUCAACCCUGGGCUUGCAGUGGAUACGGGCAGACUAGAGGUAGGUAGGGGAGAAUGGAAUUCCCGGUGUAGCGGUGAAAUGCGCAGAUAUCGGGAGGAACACCGGUGGCGAAGGCGGUUCUCUGGGCCUUACCUGACGCUGAGGAGCGAAAGCGUGGGGAGCGAACAG